GAUCCUGGCUCAGGAUGAACGCUAGCGACAGGCUUAACACAUGCAAGUCGAGGGGCAGCAUGAUUUGUAGCAAUACAGAUUGAUGGCGACCGGCGCACGGGUGAGUAACGCGUAUGCAACUUACCUAUCAGGAGGGGGAUAGCCCGGCGAAGUCGGAUUAAUACCCCAUAAAACAGGGGUCCCGCAUGGGAAUAUUUGUUAAAGAUUCAUCGCUGAUAAGAUAGGCAUGCGUU
rnacentral:rRNA from 1 species